UGGGUGAGUGAGAAACAACUCAGACUUUAGUGUUGCCAAUUGGUUAUGGUAUAGCUGUUGGUGGAUAAGAUGUUGCUAGGUGAUGAAUUUUCCCCUGUUCUGUAGGUGGUAAACUCUAUUGUGGCAGUGAUGUGGGCAUGAGGUCGCUCUUCCUUCCCCUGGGGAAUAAAAGCAGUAAUCACAGUGUCGGGCUGAGAGUCAUCGUUAAGAAUGCGAACGGUCGCACAACCAACACAACACUGUCUACACAGGUUAGAGAUGCCGGCUCUAAUUCCACCAUCCAGGAUUUACGGACUCUUGUGUCUCAGUACGUGACUCAGCUGAAUGGUUCGUCCUCAGCCUCAGUGUUGGCUCAGAUGUUUCUGUCUGUUUCCACUAAUCUGAACAAAGAUCUGAGCAACAAAGAAGAGAAGAAAAAGCUGCGGGAGGAGAUGUUGGGACAUAUGUGUGAUGCUAUGACUGCUGGAGAACCGCUCGUGGUUCUAACAGAGGCAGAGACGACUGCUAACACUGUCUUCAGCCUCGUCACACUGAAGGAUGAGAUCACCACUAACGCUGAGAUGAACGCAUGUUGUGUUCUCAACAAGGUCAGCACGUCCCUGACGUCCACCUCACACACUGAAGGAGAUGAUUCUGCACUGAUGAUGCAGGUAGCCACGCCCAUUUUUCAGGCUGCAGGUAUCAUCCUCGAAGUGUCUGCAAACUCAGAUAAACAGGUAGAGAACUAUGAUGUAAUUACUUUACAUUAACGUAUUUUCCAAACUCUAAGGUGCACUUAAAAUAUGAA
rnacentral:lncRNA from 1 species